rnacentral:rRNA from 1 species
UAGAGCCGAAGACCUCCCAAGCCGUCGCACGCACCCCGGAGGCACGAAGCCCAAAUACGAAGGUAGCUUUACUUAAUAUACCUGAUGCCACGAAAGCUAGGAAACAAACUGGGAUUAGAUACCCCACUAUGCUUAGCCUUAAACUCAGAUGCUAAUGAUACAAGAAACAUCCGCCAGGGUACUACAAGCGCUAGCUUAAAACCCAAAGGACUUGACGGUGUCUCAGAUCCGCCUAGAGGAGCCUGUUCUAGAACCGAUAAUCCCCGUUAAACCUCACCACCCCUUGCUCAUUCCGCCUAUAUACCGCCGUCGCAAGCUUACCCUGUGAAGGACUAAUAGUAAGCAAAAUGGGUAGGACCCAGAACGUCAGGUCGAGGUGUAGCUUACGAGGUGGGAAGAAAUGGGCUACAUUUUCUACCCCAGAAUAUACGAACAGCACCAUGAAAUUAGUGCUUGAAGGUGGAUUUAGCAGUAAAAAAUGAAUAGAGCGUAUUUUUGAAUUAGGCUCUGAGACGCGCACACACCGCCCGUCACUC